UAAAAGCAAUUACUUUUCUCAAAAAAUCUACUCAAGUAAGAGUAAAACCACUCUAACAAGUUACUUGGGUAGAUGUAAUAGAGCACAUGGAACUCUGUGCUUACUAUCAUGCUGGAGUUUAUGCAUUAUUGUACUGAAGAAUGUGUUGACGAUAAAGUUGGUGUCAAAUGUUCUGUAGGAGGCGCUGAGGAGAACCCAGACCGAGAGAGGUGGAGAUUUCCGAAAGUAAUGAAUCCUGCAAAGAUCUGGAAGAACCGCAGACAGCAGAAGAACACUGAUGAUGCAGAGGAUGAGUUGGGCUGUAAGGAGGCUCUGCAGCAGGAGGAGAAGGAGGAGCAGCUGGAGGAGAUCAGCAGGAGGCUGAUCAACAGGGAGGAGCAGCUGUUCAGUCAGGACUCCCCCAGUGAGGAGGAGGAGGACCAGCUGCAGAGAGACUUCGAGGCUCUGAGACUGCAGAUAUGGAUGGCCGUCCAAAACACCUUCACGUCCUCUUCCUCCUGCUCCUCCUCUUCUUCGGUGGAGCUGGAGGUCCUGAGGAGUGCUGUGGCCUCCAUCCAGCAGCAGGAGGUGCAGGAUCGGCGCUGGACAGGCUGCCUGGAGGGCCGAGUCCCAGUGUGGCGUCCUCUGAAGUGUCUCAGCACUCACAACACUCUGCUGCAGAACCUGGUGGAGCCCAGACUGAUGGAGAUGGCGGAGGAGGACUCGAGUGGCACCGACGGACUGAACUCACCUCUGAAGAGGGAGGUUUGUCUGAUGGGAAAGCGCCUGAAGGAGGACCUGCUGACGGUGGUGAGGACGGUGAAGGACUGUUACCCGCCACAGAUGGACAUCCUGAACAUGUACGCUGGACUCUACCAUCAGAGAUUCUCUGCUCGGCUGACUGAACUGGCUGCUUCUGGACCGGAACCGGACGACUGCAGCUACCUGCUACUCUGGAUCAACCACUGCUACCCACGUGAAAUAUUAAAACAUGAAGAACUGGAAGGAAAGAUAAAGACGGCCUGCCUGGGUUCUCUGCUGCUGCCGGAGGAUCUGAACCGCCUGGAGGACCAGUACCUGACCCACAAAGAGGACAAAGUGAAGCUGUGGCUGAAAACUGCUCUGAAGAAAGAAGAAGGGAGCUGGCUGAGCGGCAGCACACCUGAACUGCUCGACCAAUACCGCUUCAGUCCUCUGGCGGUGGAUGUCAUCCAGGUGAUAGACGGAUCCCUGACUGAGUUCAGCUGUGUGAUCCGAGACCAGACUACAGCUCAGAGGAUCACAGCUCACCUGGAGGGCUUCCUUACCAGCUAUAAGAAGCGUGUGGAGGAGUUUGUGAAGGGAAACCACAGUAACGUCCUCCCAGUGAUCAAGGCUCACCUGGUCUGCGAGGAGCAGCUCAGGGAUUACAUCACAGGUCAAACAGGAAGUCUGUCAGAGCAGCAGACAAGUCGUUGUCUGGACGCGUUGUCUGCCCUGAAGGAUUGUGGGUACAGGUGUUUCACCUGUCCCUUUCACGUCCAGCUGAAGGUAUGUCUCAGUCCGCUGUGGACGUCUCCCUGGUUGGACGGGACACUUCCUGUCGUCGACUCUCUGCUGGACUCUCUGUACCAACAACUGACCGACCUGGCCGACCUGAAACCGGCCUGCAGACAGGCCCUGCUGUGUGUCCUCCAUCAGGAUGUGGUUCUUCAGUAUGUGAAGAGGAUGAUGAAGACCAAGAUGAAGAGCAGAGAGCAGCAGGUGGACGGGGCUCAGCGGAUGAUUGAAGACGCCCAAAAGAUCAACGACUUCUUCAAGGAGGAGGGCUGCAGCGGGUCUCUGUGGCUCGGGGAGCUGCUCUGCAGCCUGGCUGAGAUCCUCCGUCUGCAGGAUCCUGCAAGCGUUCAGCUGGAGAUGGUCAGCGUGGCCAGAACCUUCACCGACCUCAGGUACAGACAGACGCUCACCCCCCUUCACUAAAACAUGGCUGCCGAGUACCAAGUACUGUAGGAACUGUAGCUUUGUGCUGUUCUUAGACGAUAGAAGCAUCGUGAAGGCGUCACUGUGGGCUCUGGGUAACUGUGACGGCAUUUCUCAAUAUUUUCAGAAUCUCGAAAAUUGAUUAAUGGAGAAAAUAUUCAGCAGAUUGAUCCAGAAAGAAAAUAAUCAAAAUCCUGCUUUACAUUAAUGAUGAGGAAAAAUAAUAGAAUAUAGAAUAAUACAACAGUCAGAGGACAGUGCGUACUUUUACUUUUAAUACUUUGAGUACAUUUUCCAUUACAUACUUUUACUUCAGCAACAUUUAACAGAGUAUUUUUAGAGUGUGGUAUUAGUACUUUUACUAAAGUAAAGGAUCUGAACUCUUCGUCCAGCCUGUUUCUAAUAAAUAGCGUCGUUGGAAAGUUUGAGUCAUGACCUCGUUUCCUCUGUGAAACCUCACAACCAGCAGCCGCUCGGGCCUGAAUGUAGAUGUGAACAGUGAAUCACAGCUCAUUCAUCGCUGUCACCCAGCAAACGAGCCCUUUCAUUGGACGUCUGCCAGUGAUGUCAUCUCUGUUUAACAUUCACAUCACAGUAGUGAAAGAAAAUCUCCAAACAUUAACAGCAGCGAGACGAGGUUCUGUCGUUCGUUACAGAGACUUUCAUGGGGUCACUGACUGUGUUUGUUAUUGGAGCCCUGAAUAGUUUGAACCGUGCAGCUCUUCCUCUCAGGCCCAGACCACCUCCAGCAGCAGGUCAGGGCGGGCUGUAUGUCUCCUGUGAGGUAAAACCCAGAGGUAAAAUGCCCGUACUCCUUUAUUACUCUAAGCCCACUGUCCUGCCUGAAGGCGCCGACUCCUCCUGGGCAGUAAGAGGACGUUUAGUCAGAAAACCAAAAUGAAACAACAGAAAGCGAAAAGGUCUUCAGAGGAAGUGACAUCAUUAAAGAUUAGUCAACGCCUCGUGUCCUUCUGGACCAGCUGACGGUGGAUCCAUCAGAAAAGCAGCUCAUGUGUUACAGAAAAGGGAACUCAUGUAAAGUUAGACAAGAUAAGACGCAUUGGCGCUCACGUGACGGCGCUGCUCUCGCUGAAAACCGGCCUAUCAGCUGCUGACAUUCGCUCCAUCAGGCGGAGCGUGGAGGAGAACCGCGUCCUCGAUGUCUCCACCAAUCAGAG